CAUUGUGUUUCUCUCCACAAACAAGAAAAUGCCUCUGCCUAGUUUUUUUCUAGCUCUGGGGCAAGUAUGUUCUACACUGUAUAUUUACAGGUGACACAAUUGAUUUGAGUGACAGCCAGAGGAGAAAGGUGUUCUGCAAGUCUUUCAGGCAUGGUAGAAUGGCCCUGACACUUGGGCCAUGCAUCCUGCAGAUCCUGCAGUAUGAGAGAACAAAAGCAAAAUAAACUUUCCAGGACAAAAUUAAUGGAUUUUUUUCACCACCCCCGCCCCCAGAGGCAGGAAGAAAAACAAACUCCAGAGGCUCGGGUGAAAAUGACAUCCUCUCAGUCAAACAGAUACUGAAGUAAUGCGCUCCUCAAAACUUGGGCCCAGAUGUGUCCACCACCACACACAUGAGAGCUCGGAAGCCAACUUUUGGAUACCAUGAAAAGGAAUCAGAAGGUCCUUUAAAGAUGCCAUUG
rnacentral:lncRNA from 1 species